UCAGCCCAUGCCAGAGUUAGCUUUGAUUAUGGGUUCCCAGGGGAAUCCUCUCCCUUGAUUCAGGACCACAGUUGAAAGAGGCACUUUGAAAUACCAUUGUUUGAGGAUUUUUCUAAAAAAAUAUUUUUAACUAUUCAACUCUACAAUGAGAUGGAGACCUUUGUCUUCCAACUUAAUUAGAGUUUCUUAUUAUAUUCACUGCAUUGUGUAGGAUCUGAGUUUUGUAUUUGUCACCCUCUAGAAUGCACAAUGCAGAAGUUCAGUGUUUCAGGAAUUUGGCAGAAACUGGCCCAGUGAAAGCAGGUCUUACAGCAUUCCCUUCUGCUCAAAGGGAGAACUGCCCAGUCUCCUUUCUAAGGCGAAUCAUGCCACCCGCACAUUGUCAAUCAUAUUGCUGCCCGUCACCUCUGAAUAAUUCUUUUUCUUUUUAUCAGUUAACGCAGCAUUUGUUAUCUAACACAAUUCCCAAAGGCUCGAAGGAUGUGAGACACAAAAUGAUCAGAAGGUAAACUAUUACCAAGAUGCAUCACCAUGUAUACACUAACGAUCUCUUGAGAGUUUUAGACAAUAAAUAGAAGAAACCACUAAACAAGUAGAAGCUUAGAGAGAGUGGAGAUAUUACUCAUUUCAAAGCAAUGAUUAAGAAGUGGAUGCUUUUUACUAGAAAAUGCUUUUUUGGAGCCUGACAACAAAUAAUUUUUGAAUAAAAAUGAGGUAAAUGUUUUCAAGACUUCAUAAAUUUAAAAACUCAUUUAAAAGUUUAUAAAAGUUUUUGUUGUGAAAUGCACAUACUAAUAUAUAUGCAUAUAGUUUAUUGAACAAUAAUAAAAUAUACCCUUCCACACAUUAUUAGACUAAGAGAUAAAAUAUUACCAGUAUUUUAGGAGCUCCAAGAGUGCACUUCAACACAAAUCUUUCUCUUAAACCCUGAAAUUUGUGUUAUUCUGUUGUUGUUACUAAUAAUUCUUACCUACUUGUGUCCAUGACUAUACAUUCCUUAGUUUUUCCUAUUUUUCAAAUUUAUAUAAAUGGACUUUGCUGAAGGAAGUCAUCUGUGAUUUCAGUCUUUCAGUCAAUUACGUGAUUAGGAUAUUCAUCCAGGUGGAUGUAUCUUACAGUAUUCCUUUUGAUUAGAAUGGAGUAUUACAUUGUGUGCAUAUAAUAAUUUUAUCUAUACCAGUGUUAGGAAACAUAUAGGUUGAUUCCUGUGCUUUGGUAUAAAGAAGAAUCCGCUGAGGAACAUUCCUGUAUUUGUGUCCUAGUGCUAUGGAAUACAAUGGCUGUUUUGUUUGUCACCGUUAGUAGUAAUACGAAUUUAUUUUCUAAAAGUGUUGUGCUGGUUUCAUACUGUCGCAGUUUGGAGUUCUCAAUACUUCACAUCAUCUACAACCCAACAUACUGUCUAAUUUUGUAAAUGUGAAUGGUGUGAAAUCACUUACUAUUGUGAUUUUAAUUUACCUUUCUUUGAUUAACCACGAGGUAUGUGGUAAUGUA
rnacentral:lncRNA from 1 species